rnacentral:rRNA from 1 species
UACAGAGGUCUCAAGCGUUGUUCGGAUUCAUUGGGCGUAAAGGGUGCGUAGGUGGCGGGGUAAGUCAGGUGUGAAAUCUCGGGGCUCAACCCCGAAACUGCACUUGAUACUGCCUUGCUCGAGUACUGGAGAGGAGAUUGGAAUUUACGGUGUAGCAGUGAAAUGCGUAGAUAUCGUAAGGAAGACCAGUGGCGAAGGCGAAUCUCUGGACAGUUACUGACACUGAGGCACGAAGGCCAGGGGAGCAAAACGGG